UACGUAGGUGGCGAGCGUUGUCCGGAUUUAUUGGGCGUAAAGGGCGCGCAGGUGGUGCGGUAAGACUGCCGUGAAAUCUCCCGGCUCAACUGGGAGGGGGCGGUGGAGACUGCCGGACUAGAGGCACUCAGAGGCCGGUGGAAUUCCCGGUGGAGUGGUGAAAUGCGUAGAGAUCGGGAGGAACACCAGUGGCGAAGGCGGCCGGCUGGGGGUGACCUGACGCUGAGGCGCGAAAGCGUGGGGAGCGAACCGG
rnacentral:rRNA from 1 species